GGCAGUGUAGUGUAGCAGUAAGGAGUAGGGCUUGUAACCGAAAGGUUGCUGGUUCGAUUCCCUGCUGCCA